rnacentral:rRNA from 1 species
AAUAGAUACCCGGGUAGUCCAUGCCGUGACCGAUGAGUAUUAAAGGUGGAUUCUUUAAUCUAUCUUUAAGCUAACGCGUAAACACUCCGCCUAGGAAUUACAAUCGCAAGGUUUAAACCUAAAGGAAUUGGCGGAGAGUUAUCACAGCGGUGGAGCAUGUGGUUUAAUCUGAUGAUCCGCAUAGAAUCUUACCAGUUUUUGGGCAACAAAUCUUGAUAAUGUUUUAAUUUCAUUUGGCAGAAAUACAUAACGUAUUGAGCUUGAGAAGAUUUGGGCAGGUGCUGCAUGGCCGUCGUCAGCUCGUGUUUUGAGACGUCAGAUUAACUUCCCUAACGGGCGUAAUCCUUGUAAUAUGUUGCUGUGUAUUUCAUAUUAGACUGCCUAUGUGAUAUAGGAGGAAGGUGAGGAGGACGUCUGGUCGUUAUGGCCUAUAUGGACUGGGCUACAUACGUGCUACAAUGGUUAUUACAAUGAGAGGCAAAGAUGUGAAUCUAAGCAAAUCUUUCAAAAAUAAUCG